rnacentral:rRNA from 1 species
GUACACCCGGUCUCAUUCCGAACCCGGUAGUUAAGGCUCUUAGCGCUGAUGGUACUGCACCCGGUAGGUGUGUGGGAGAGUAGGUCGCCGCCGAAA